AUUGAACGCUGGCGGCAGGCCUAACACAUGCAAGUCGAGCGGAUGAAGGGAGCUUGCUCCUGGAUUCAGCGGCGGACGGGUGAGUAAUGCCUAGGAAUCUGCCUGGUAGUGGGGGAUAACGUCCGGAAACGGGCGCUAAUACCGCAUACGUCCUGAGGGAGAAAGUGGGGGAUCUUCGGACCUCACGCUAUCAGAUGAGCCUAGGUCGGAUUAGCUAGUUGGCGGGGUAAAGGCCCACCAAGGCGACGAUCCGUAACUGGUCUGAGAGGAUGAUCAGUCACACUGGAACUGAGACACGGUCCAGACUCCUACGGGAGGCAGCAGUGGGGAAUAUUGGACAAUGGGCGAAAGCCUGAUCCAGCCAUGCCGCGUGUGUGAAGAAGGUCUUCGGAUUGUAAAGCACUUUAAGUUGGGAGGAAGGGCAGUAAGUUAAUACCUUGCUGUUUUGACGUUACCAACAGAAUAAGCACCGGCUAACUUCGUG
rnacentral:rRNA from 1 species